UUAGUGGAAGCGUCUGGAAAGGCGCGCGAUACAGGGUGACAGCCCCGUACACAAAAGCGCAUGUGCUGUGAGCUCGAUGAGUAGGGCGGGACACGUGGUAUCCUGUCUGAAUAUGGGGGGACCAUCCUCCAAGGCUAAAUACUCCUGACUGACCGAUAGUGAACCAGUACCGUGAGGGAAAGGCGAAAAGAACCCCGGCGAGGGGAGUGAAAAAGAACCUGAAACCGUGUACGUACAAGCAGUGGGAGCCCCACCACCAAAGCAUUCUCUGGUGUUGAAGGCCCUGCAAAGCAGCAUCGCGGUGGCGGAGCGUCGUUUGCGACGCCCAACACACAAAACAAGCGGUGAGUGCUUUGGGGUGGGGUGACUGCGUACCUUUUGUAUAAUGGGUCAGCGACUUAUAUUCUGUAGCAAGGUUAACCGAAUAGGGGAGCCGGAGGGAAACCGAGUCUUAAYYGGGCGUUAAGUUGCAGGGUAUAGACCCGAAACCCGGUGAUCUAGCCAUGGGCAGGUUGAAGGUUGGGUAACACUAACUGGAGGACCGAACCGACUAAUGUUGAAAAAUUAGCGGAUGACCUGUGGC
rnacentral:rRNA from 1 species